CCUACGGGAGGCAGCAGUGGGGGAUAUUGCACAAUGGGGGAAACCCUGAUGCAGCGACGCCGCGUGUGGGAAGACGGUCCUCUGGAUUGUAAACCACUGUCCCCAGGGACGAAGAUGACGGUACCUGGGGAGGAAGCUCCGGCUAACUACGUGCCAGCAGCCGCGGUAAUACGUAGGGAGCGAGCGUUGUCCGGAAUUACUGGGUGUAAAGGGAGCGUAGGCGGGACUGCAAGUUGGGUGUAAAAUCUACCGGCUCAACCGGUAGCCGCACUCAAAACUGCAGGUCUUGAGUGAAGUAGAGGCAGGCGGAAUUCCUAGUGUAGCGGUGAAAUGCGUAGAUAUUAGGAGGAACACCAGUGGCGAAGGCGGCCUGCUGGGCUUUUACUGACGCUGAGGCUCGAAAGUGUGGGGAGCGAACAGGAUUAGAUACCCUUGUAGUC
rnacentral:rRNA from 1 species